UCGAGAUGAGUAUUCAAUAGAGUUCGGAAACCAUACCAAAACUCUGAUACCGUGCUCAUCACAUCUAAUACCUUGAAUAGUCAUGAAUCCCGGCAAAACCUGAGAGUCAACUUUAAGAGGAUUGCACUUGCUGCCAUUCGCAUUCCCACUACAUUCACUACCAUACUCCAAUUCGAAAAUCCUAGCAUACUGGUACAACUGAGAUAAGCAAAGACUUGGUUGUUGUAACUCAAGAUGAAGAUUCCCAUAUAAUUCACCACCAACAUCUCUUCGACCUAAGCAAUUCCCAGUACCCUCACUCAUCAAUGAGUAGUUGUACUCGCCAAAGUGAGGUACAGCCAGUAUAGAAACAGGUUCGAAAUAGUUCAAACCAUCUCCGGGAAUUGUACUCUCCAAAGAGCCGCGAAUCAAAC
rnacentral:lncRNA from 1 species